UUCUGAUAAAGCCAAACCCGUUGAGAGGCGGGACGGAAAACUUCGGGUCUUAGUGGAUACUGCUGAAAGACAGCCGGGUUGCCUUU
rnacentral:ncRNA from 1 species